GACGUAGGAUGCGAGCGUUGUCCGGAUUUAUUGGGCGUAAAGAGUUCGUAGGUGGUUUGUUAAGUCUGGUGUUAAAGGCGCGGGCCCAACCCGUGUACUGCACUGGAUACUGGCAGACUUGAGUGUGGUAGAGGCGAGUGGAAUUCCCAGUGUAGCGGUGAAAUGCGUAGAUAUUGGGAAGAACACCGGUGGCGCAAGCGACUCGCUGGGCCAUUACUGACACUGAGGAACGAAAGCUAGGGGAGCGAAUGGG
rnacentral:rRNA from 1 species